rnacentral:lncRNA from 1 species
CGCGGCGAGCACUACUCCCCUGCUGUGGCGCUCACGGUAAAGCAAAAAAGCGUCUCGGUCGGUGCGAACGGGCGGAUUAAAGGCGGUAAUUGAUUUGGCGUUUUAGGGCGCGGAUCGGCUGGAAAUUAAUUAAUUUAGUCGGGGGAGGAUUAAAGAACGGACCGGUUGAAGGACGGGCAUGUAGACGCAUGUCGUUUUGUUUGAUCACGGGAGGGUCAAUCUAG